ACAGCAGCACAGAGCUUGCUCUGGUGGCGAGUGGCGAACGGGUGAGUAAUAUAUCGGAACGUACCCUGGAGUGGGGGAUAACGUAGCGAAAGUUACGCUAAUACCGCAUACGAUCUAAGGAUGAAAGUGGGGGAUUCGCAAGAACCUCAUGCUCGUGGAGCGGCCGAUAUCUGAUUAGCUAGUUGGUAGGGUAAAAGCCUACCAAGGCAUCGAUCAGUAGCUGGUCUGAGAGGACGACCAGCCACACUGGAACUGAGACACGGUCCAGACUCCUACGGGAGGCAGCAGUGGGGAAUUUUGGACAAUGGGCGCAAGCCUGAUCCAGCAAUGCCGCGUGAGUGAAGAAGGCCUUCGGGUUGUAAAGCUCUUUUGUCAGGGAAGAAACGGUGGGAGCUAAUAUCUCCUGCUAAUGACGGUACCUGAGGAAUAAGCACCGGCUAACUACGUGCCAGCAGCCGCGGUAAUACGUAGGGUGCAAGCGUUAAUCGGAAUUACUGGGCGUAAAGCGUGCGCAGGCGGUUUUGUAAGUCUGAUGUGAAAUCCCCGGGCUCAACCUGGGAAUUGCAUUGGAGACUGCAAGGCUAGAAUCUGGCAGAGGGGGGUAGAAUUCCACGUGUAGCAGUGAAAUGCGUAGAUAUGUGGAGGAACACCGAUGGCGAAUGCAGCCCCCUGGGUCAAGAUUGACGCUCAUGCACGAAAGCGUGGGGAGCAAAC
rnacentral:rRNA from 1 species